rnacentral:misc_RNA from 1 species
GAUGAAGAACGCAGCGAAAUGCGAUACGUAAUGUGAAUUGCAGAAUUCAGUGAAUCAUCGAAUCUUUGAAUGCAUAUUGCGCCCUUUGGUAUUCCAAAGGGCAUGCCUGUUCGAGCGUCAUUUGUACCCUCAAGCUUUGCUUGGUGUUGGGCGUCUUGUCUCUAGCUUUGCUGGAGACUCGCCUUAAAGUAAUUGGCAGCCGGCCUACUGGUUUCGGAGCGCAGCACAAGUCGCACUCUCUAUCAGCAAAGGUCUAGCAUCCAUUAAGCCUUUUUUUCAACUUUUGACCUCGGAUCAGGUAGGGAUACCCGCUGAACUUAAGCAUAUCAAGCGGAGGA